AUUGAACGCUGGCGGAAUGCUUUACACAUGCAAGUCGAACGGCAGCACGGACUUCGGUCUGGUGGCGAGUGGCGAACGGGUGAGUAAUGUAUCGGAACGUGCCCAGUCGUGGGGGAUAACGUAGUGAAAAUUACGCUAAUACCGCAUACGAUCUAUGGAUGAAAGCGGGGGAUCGCAAGACCUCGUGCGAUUGGAGCGGCCGAUAUCAGAUUAGGUAGUUGAUGGGGUAAAGGCCCACCAAGCCAACGAUCUGUAGCUGGUCUGAGAGGACGACCAGCCACACUGGAACUGAGACACGGUCCAGACUCCUACGGGAGGCAGCAGUGGGGAAUGUUGGACAAUGGGCGAAAGCCUGAUCCAGCCAUUCCGCGUGCAGGAUGAAGGCCCUCGGGUUGUAAACUGCUUUUGUACAGAACGAAAAGGUUUCUACUAAUACUAGGAGCUCAUGACGGUACUGUAAGAAUAAGCACCGGCUAACUACGUGCCAGCCGCCGCUGUAA
rnacentral:rRNA from 1 species